rnacentral:rRNA from 1 species
GACGAACGCUGGCGGCGUGCUUAACACAUGCAAGUCGAACGGUAAGGCCCUUCGGGGUACACGAGUGGCGAACGGGUGAGUAACACGUGGGUGAUCUGCCCUGCACUUCGGGAUAAGCCUGGGAAACUGGGUCUAAUACCGGAUAGGACCACUGCCUGCAUGGGUGGUGGUGGAAAGCCUUUGCGGUGUGGGAUGGGCCCGCGGCCUAUCAGCUUGUUGGUGGGGUGAUGGCCUACCAAGGCGACGACGGGUAGCCGGCCUGAGAGGGUGAACGGCCACACGGGGAGGGAGAUACGGCACAGACUCCUACGGGAGGCAGCAGUGGGGAAUAUUGCACAAGGGGCGCAAGCCUGAUGCAGCGACGCCGCGUGAGGGAUGACGGCCUUCGGGUUGUAAACCUCUUUCAGCACCGACGAAGCGCAAGUGACGGUAGGUGCAGAAGAAGGACCGGCCAACUACGUGCCAGCCGCCGCGGUAA